rnacentral:rRNA from 1 species
GUCAGUUUCGAGUUAGUGUUCCCACCAUCCUUCUUCAACAUCAUGACGCACGUCCUAGUUCACCUAUGCGAAGAGAUUAACGUUCUUGGUCCUGUAUUUCUACACAAUAUGUUCCCCUUUGAGAGGUUCAUGGGAGUCUUAAAGAAAUAUGUUCAUAACCGUGCUAGGCCAGAAGGAAGCAUCUCCAAGGGCCAUGAAAUGAGGAGGUCAUUGAGUUUUGUAUUGACUUUAUUCCUGACCUUAAGCCGAUUAGUGUUCCUGAAUCGCGGCAUAAGGGCAGACUGGAUGGAAAAGGCACGCUAG